rnacentral:rRNA from 1 species
UGGGGAAUAUUGCACAAUGGGCGCAAGCCUGAUGCAGCCAUGCCGCGUGUAUGAAGAAGGCCUUCGGGUUGUAAAGUACUUUCAGCGGGGAGGAAGGCGAUAAGGUUAAUAACCUUGUCGAUUGACGUUACCCGCAGAAGAAGCACCGGCUAACUCCGUGCCAGCAGCCGCGGUAAUACGGAGGGUGCAAGCGUUAAUCGGAAUUACUGGGCGUAAAGCGCUCGCAGGCGGUCUGUCAAGUCGGAGGUGAAAUCCGCGGGCUCAACCUGGGAACUGCAUUCGAAACUGGCAGGCUAGAGUCUUGUAGAGGGGGGUAGAAUUCCAGGUGUAGCGGUGAAAUGCGUAGAGAUCUGGAGGAAUACCGGUGGCGAAGGCGGCCCCCUGGACAAAGACUGACGCUCAGGUGCGAAAGCGUGGGGAGCAAACA